UGUGCAUGUGCUGCCAAGCUGGAACUUAGCCAUAAAUGAUCGUAGUAAAUAAGUACUAAACGACCCAUGUCUUUACAUAACUCAUGAGCAUUUCCCAUGGGAGUCAAGUUUGGGCCAAGUCACUGAUCAAGUUGAUAGUGCUGACAACGCUAAAAGACAAUGGUAGUCAAAUGGGCGUCGCUCGUCCUCAGCUUGAGCGACAACAUGGAUCAUUAAAAGCAUUAGUGUCACGCAGAAGUCACAGAGCCUCAGGGCAGCUCCCCAGCCCACGAGCCCCGA